rnacentral:rRNA from 1 species
CCCUAGAGGAGCCUGUUCCAUAAUCGAUAAACCCCGAUCUACCUCACCCUCUCUUGCUUAGCCUAUAUACCGCCAUCUUCAGCAAACCCUGAUAAAGGUUACAAAGUGAGCACAAACGCCCUGCCGCCGCAAAAACGUUAGGUCAAGGUGUAGCCCAUGAGAGGGUAAAAAUGGGCUACAUUUUCUACAUCAGAAAACCCCACGAAAACUCUUAUGAAACCUAAGAGUCCAAGGAGGAUUUAGCAGUAAAUUAAGAAUAGAGUGCUUAAUUGAACCAGGCCAUAAAGCGCGUACACACCGCCCGUCACUCCCCUCAAAUAUAUUUAAGGAACAUCCUAACUAAGCGCCCUAAUAUUUAUAUAGAGGGGAUAAGUCGUAACAUGGUAAGUGUACUGGAAGGUGCACUUGGAC